rnacentral:rRNA from 1 species
AUGUCCGCCAUCAGAGGGGUAGGCGUCCUCGUGGUUACCUGGAUCACGGUGGUUCUUCUCGGUGGCUUCGUCUCCAUGUUAGACAGGAAAGAUUUUUGGCGGCUGACCCUUAUUACCGCCGUAGAGCUAGCCUGCAUCAAUGCCUCUUUCAUUGAAAGGAUAGGCUCUGCUGGUGAUCUGAUCUCGAGCUUGAGGACAGUGAAGAAUCUAUUGACCACCAACUGGGAGUUGGCUGAUAAUACACGAAAUGAUCACCAGGAACUGGCAGUGGUUAAGAGAGUUUUUACAGUCGUGUUUGUGGUGGCUGGAUGGGUUCUAGUGCAGCUUCACAGUGUGAUGGUGUACCUUUGUGUUGUCUCUGCGCCGUGUCUCGUGCUCUUUGGGAUGAUCAUCACCGCUUGGAUCUCGAUAUUCGGUCUAAUGGAGCACGACUACUAUGGCGACACGGUCGAGGGCAGAACAAACAUGGAUCCGGCGCAUAAUCUCUUGUACGUUAUGUGUAUGGUCCAAGGUGCAUUGUUCCUUUAUAGAAUCAUCUUGCUGCUUACGGAGAAGAGGAUAGUGAAACAAGUGAGCCAAUCAUACGGCUUCCAAGAUGGGGACCCUGCAGUUUCAGGCUACUUGAAUGAAAUCAGGAAGGAAUGCUUCCAGAAGCCAUCCUCCGUCAGAGGAAGGAACCUCAUCACAUAUGCUGUACAACUCAUGGAGUCCAACUCGCCUCGUAACUUCCUUUCUGGGACACUGAUACUGGAGAGACUACUCACCCGGCAGCAUUUGGUCCAACAAGAAGAGCACAGGCAGCAAUUAGAAUUAGAGAACAGGACUGGAGCUCCAUUGGUUAGAAUGGAUGAGAAGAAUAAGAGAGAAGAAAUGAAGAGGAAGAGGGAGGAGUGGAAGAAGAGGCCGCAGCAUCAGCAAAAGGAAGAAAGGAUUAUUAUACAGCAAAGUAGGCUGAUCAAGCGGCUCAUAUUUGGGUCUGCAUCCUCCUCCCACAUUCUAGAGAAACUCCUUCAGACGUUAGAUUCGAGAGACUCAUACAACAGAAAGAUGAGAGAGGCCGCUAUGAGGAUAUUGGAGCAGCUUGCUGGCCAGAUCCGUUUGGAGCAGUUCCCACGAUGGAUCCAAUGCAUAUCUUCACUCAUCAACACUUUCGAAGAAUAUCACCUACUCCAGGCACACAACACUUCACCACUGGAGUUGGACUCGGAGUCGGACAGCGAUGUUGAUCAGCAACCAUCAUCUAAGGUGCUCGCUUGCUACAAAGAGCUGGUACUGACUGGACUGAGUCUCCUUUGGAGCCUUGCAGGCAAUGAGGUCAACUGUGAAAUCAUAAUCAACGCCAAACAUGUUGUCUACAAGAUCAUGGCACCUGUCAGCUACGACCUAGUGCACCGCUCAGGUCAUAGUGCAUGGUCGACUAUGGCAGUAGAGAGAUCUCUGGGGGUGAUGCUUCAGCUGAUUGUGACUAGCAAGGAAAACACAAGGGAAGACUUGCGUCAACGGUUGUCAAAGAAUGAGGGAGCAAUCGCCACCAUUGAAAGAAUUGUUACCUGCGAAGAAUGUAAAUAUGAGCUGAAGAUGAAGGGCAUGCAGAUACUCUCGCAACUAUCGAUGGACGAAAAUGCCAGCAGAGAUAAUCUUUCCCUACUAAUAAAGCACGGAGUGCUUCUGCUCGUCCGUCGUCGCCGUUUUUACAAAAAAGUCCUUAUGGUUUUUGACAGGCGGAUCUGGGCGCAGCGUCGAGGGAUCUGGCGGCUGGUGCGGCGGCUUGCUCCGGUGGCCGCGGUGUCCUGCUUAUCCAGAGAAACAGGGCAUGAGGGAGAGAGGAAAGAGAUGAAAAAGGAGAAGGAGCAGGGGCGCAAGGUGAGGGAGAGGGAUCUGGCGGGUGGUGCGGGGGGCUUCGGUGGCGGCGGCGUCCUUCUCAUCCAGAGAAAGGGAGAGGCAGGGCGUGAGGGAGAUAGGAAAGAGAGGAAGAAAGGAGAAGGAGAGGGGGGCGCAAGGUGA